CUAAUAUGUUUAUUACUGGUGAAAAAUAAUUGAAUUCUGGAUGCUUUAUUAAGCUAGAGCUUUUAUAUUUUUGUGCUAAGGGAAAAAUGCAGGAAAGGAAACCUGCCGAUACUUCCAAGGUUUUUCUUUUAAUUAAGAAGAAAAAAAAGGUUGCUAUUUGCUGACACUAGAAAGGUUAGAAAGAAUGAAGUUUGACCGUGGGGACAUCAGAAGCUUUGAUCGGACACAUGAAAUGCUGUGUGAGAUACCGUUUGGACAUGCAAAUGUGGAUAAAACACUUAAAUGAAAUGUACUUCCAGAAAAUUUCAUUUCUUCCAUCUGUACAAGUUUCUCGGAUGACAGUUCCUCUCCAUAGGAUUCUGGCAAGUCUGUGAAUAUGAGUUACUGUAAAUAUAAUCAUAAGAAGGAGAGGAUAGUAAAGGAAUGGAAACAAAUGGAAAAGACAGGCCAGGACAGAACAAGAAAGGAAGGGUAAGGUAAGAUCAUUUCUUU
rnacentral:lncRNA from 1 species